UGGGGAAUCUUGGACAAUGGGCGCAAGCCUGAUCCAGCCAUGCCGCGUGAGUGAAGAAGGCCUUCGGGUUGUAAAGCUCUUUUACCAGGGACGAUAAUGACGGUACCCUCAAAGGAAGCACCGGCUAACUCCGUGCCAGCAGCCGCGGUAAUACAGAGGGUGCGAGCGUUAAUCGGAAUUACUGGGCGUAAAGCGCACGUAGGUGGCGACGUAAGUCGGGUGUGAAAUCCCCGGGCUCAACCUGGGAACCGCAUUCGAGACUGUGUUGCUGGAGUACGGAAGAGGAGGGCGGAAUUCCCGGUGUAGCGGUGAAAUGCGUAGAUAUCGGGAGGAACAUCAGUGGCGAAGGCGGCCCUCUGGUCCAGUACUGACACUCAAGUGCGAAAGCGUGGGGAGCAAACAGGAUUAGAUACCCAAGUAGUCCCUGAGCGGGCUGGCAAGGCGCAU
rnacentral:rRNA from 1 species